UACGGAGGGUGCAAGCGUUUGUCCGGAAUCACUGGGCGUAAAGGGCGCGUAGGCGGCUCAUGAAGGCUGUGGUGAAAGUCCGGGGCUCAACCUCGGAUCGGCCGUGGCGACUCGUGGGCUGGAGCACUGUAGAGGCGGGUGGAAUUCCGGGUGUAGCGGUGGAAUGCGUAGAGAUCCGGAAGAACACCAGUGGCGAAGGCGCCCGCUGGGCAGUGGCUGACGCUGAGGCGCGAAAGCUG
rnacentral:rRNA from 1 species